GGUCGCUUAACUCAGUUGGUUAGAGUGUCGUACUAAUACCGCAUCAUGUUUCCACAUGGUGUUCUGAAAUGCGAAAGUCGCCAGUUCGAUCCUGGUAGUGACCA
rnacentral:tRNA from 1 species